rnacentral:rRNA from 1 species
AUGCAGAAAAGAAAACUGAGACAGUCUGGUUUAUCAGCAGUACCUUCUUCAGAAAAAAUAACCAUCCCUGUGCAGUCUGAUUUAAUCCACUCUGAAUGCCGCAUUGUUCGUAUCGGCCAGGCACCUAUCGAGCGUGCAUCCUGCCCUGGUAGAGUAUGUGCACUUGAAAAAACAUUGAGAGGAUACGCACAGAGGAAAAUAGAUACCGUCGUAGUAUCUACUGUCGGAAGCAGCUUUGAUUCGUUGGGAGAGGCGUAUGACUACUACAAUCUAUAUUCAUGGGAGGUUGGAUUCGGAAUAAGAUAUGGAAAGAGUAGGCUCAACGUCGAGAGAACCAAAUGUAUGCAGGAGAUAGUAUGUGGAUACUCGGGCUAA